UACGUAGGGUGCAAGCGUUAAUCGGAAUUACUGGGCGUAAAGCGUGCGCAGGCGGCUUUGCAAGACAGAUGUGAAAUCCCCGGGCUCAACCUGGGAACUGCAUUUGUGACUGCAUGGCUGGAGUGCGGCAGAGGGGGAUGGAAUUCCGCGUGUAGCAGUGAAAUGCGUAGAUAUGCGGAGGAACACCGAUGGCGAAGGCAGCCUCCUGGGCCAGCACUGACGCUCAUGCACGAAAGCGUGGGGAGCAAACAGG
rnacentral:rRNA from 1 species